GCAACGAGCGCAACCCUCGUGCUAUGUUUGAUUUUCUCAUAGCAGACUGCCUUGUACAGCAAGGAGGAAGUGGGGAUGACGUCAAGUCAGCAUGGCCUUUAUGCCCUGGGCUACACACACGCUACAAUGGGUGGGUACAGAGGGUUGCCACGGAGCAAUCCGGAGCGAAUCCCUUAAAACCAUCCUCAGUUCGGAUUGUAGGCUGCAAUCGCCUGCAUGAAGCCGGAGCUGCUAGUAACCGCAGGUCAGCUAUACUGCGGUGAAUACGUUCUCGGGCCUU
rnacentral:rRNA from 1 species